ACGGGUGAGUAAAGCCUAGGAAUCUGCCUGGUAGUGGGGGAUAACGUUCGGAAACGGACGCUAAUACCGCAUACGUCCUACGGGAGAAAGCAGGGGACCUUCGGGCCUUGCGCUAUCAGAUGAGCCUAGGUCGGAUUAGCUAGUUGGUGAGGUAAUGGCUCACCAAGGCGACGAUCCGUAACUGGUCUGAGAGGAUGAUCAGUCACACUGGAACUGAGACACGGUCCAGACUCCUACGGGAGGCAGCAGUGGGGAAUAUUGGACAAUGGGCGAAAGCCUGAUCCAGCCAUGCCGCGUGUGUGAAGAAGGUCUUCGGAUUGUAAAGCACUUUAAGUUGGGAGGAAGGGCAGUUACUUAAUACGUGAUUGUUUUGACGUUACCGACAGAAUAAGCACCGGCUAACUCUGUGCCAGCAGCCGCGGUAAUACAGAGGGUGCAAGCGUUAAUCGGAAUUACUGGGCGUAAAGCGCGCGUAGGUGGUUUGUUAAGUUGGAUGUGAAAUCCCCGGGCUCGACCUGGGAACUGCAUUCAAAACUGACUGACUAGAGUGUGGUAGAGGGUGGUGGAAUUUCCUGUGUAGCGGUG
rnacentral:rRNA from 1 species